rnacentral:rRNA from 1 species
AGUGAACGUUGGCGGCGUGGAUUAGGCAUGCAAGUCGAGUGAGAACCGUAGCAAUACGGGGACAGCGGCGAAAGGGACAGCAAUGUGUAGGUACCUACCUCCGGGUUCGGGAUAGCUGCGGGAAACUGCAGGUAAUACCGAAUAACGUCUCCGGACCAAAGGUGUGAUUCCACCUGGAGAGGGGCCUGCAUCCUAUUAGCUUGUUGGCGGGGUAACGGCCCACCAAGGCGACGAUGGGUAGCGGGUGUGAGAGCACGACCCGCGUCAUUGGGACUGAGACACUGCCCAGACACCUACGGGUGGCUGCAGUCGAGGAUCUUCGGCAAUGGGCGCAAGCCUGACCGAGCGACGCCGCGUGCGGGAUGAAGACCUUCGGGUUGUAAACCGCUGUCGUAGAGGAGGAAGUGCAGGGGGGUUCUCCCCUCUGUUUGACCUAUUCUAGGAGGAAGGACGGGCUAAGUUCGUGCCAGCAGCCGCCGUAA